rnacentral:lncRNA from 10 species
GCGAAACGCGAAACUCCAUCUCAAAAAAAAAAAAAAGAAUGAAGCCAUUAGCAAAGGAAAGAGAAAGACCUGAAUAACAAAUUUAGCUGAUUCUGAGGCAGAUUCUACUUCCUGUGUGCAGAAAAUUUACGAAGAAGCCAUGAAUCUCUGGAAACAUUCUGGAAACCUAGGAUUGAAGUAUAAAAUCUAUGGAGUUUCCUUCUGUCGCUGGCUGGAGUGCAAUGGCAUGAUCUUGGCUCACCACAACCUCCAGCUCCCGGAUUCAAGAGAUUCUCCUGCCUCAGCCUCCCAAGUAGCUGGGACUACAGGUGCCUGCCACCACGCCCAGCUAAUUUUUGUAUUUUUAGUAGAGACCGGGUUUCACCAUAUUGGCCAGGAUGGUCUUGAUCUCUUGGCCUCGUGAUCCACCCACCUCGGCCUCCCAAAAUGCUGGGAUUACAGGCGUGAGCCACCACGCCAGUCAAUCCAAUUUAAUUUUAUACUCACAUGGAUAACACUUGUCCUAGCUUAAUUAUUGAAUUGUCCAUCUUUUCUAGCACUUGUUCUUCCUCUAUAAGAAGAUCUUGGUUUAUCUUGGCUCUUCCAUAUACAUUUUAGAAUCAUGUUGUGAAGGUCAAGAACCGUGAAGAUGCUGAAAUUUUUACCCUACUUACGAAACCAACAUGUUAGUUCCGUGGAUGGAGUUCCACGAUGCUGGAAGAAGACAUGAACUCCUGGGUCAGAGAUAAAGGACUUUACUUAAGGAAGAGCAAGCAGCAAAGCAAGUUCCUUCCCUUUGAGAUUGCCAACAUUCUCAACAAGUAUCCCUGUGUGCUUUUGAUGAAGAGGAAGGAACAGUAUGGAAGAUUUCACAGGAUAUUCUGUGGUCAGGCCUGCAAGUACAUGCGUCACUUCUGCCCACAUUCAUAAGGACAGAGCUAAGUCUCAUAAAUACAAGGAAGGUGAAAAUGUGAUUUAACUGUAUGCCUAGCACAGAAAGGAGAAUCAGAAUCCCUGCCACAUUUUCUAAUGUAACUACAUUAUGGUCAUAACAUGUGUUCUGUAUGAUAUCAGUUCUUUGAAAAAUUUAAGACACAGCCCAUUUUUGCAAGUGUUUUUUUGUGUGUGUUGGAAAAUAAUGUAUAUUUUCCAAUUACUAAAUGCAAGUGUCUGUAUAUGUAUAUCAACUAAAUCAAAGUUGUUGAUUUUAUUGUUCAAAUUAUUUGCAUCCUAUUGGUUUUCCUUACCUACUUUAUGCAUUAAUAGCUAAGAGAUAUGUAUUAAAAAUUUCCCACAGUGUUGGUGGAUUUGUCAAUUUCUCCAUAGGUUUUAAAAUUUAUAUGCAAUUUAUUUUGAGGCUAUGAUAUUAAACAAUGUAAAUUUGCAAAUGUGAUCUCUUUUUAUUAUAUUCUUUAUUUUUAUAGAGUUCUCUUAUUAGUAUUUUUUUCCUUUAAAGAAUAUUUUGACUGAUAUUAAUUAUGGUCAUAUUACUUUUUUUUUUUGGUUAAAUUUGCCGGGUUCUCCUUCUGAAACUUUGAUUAGAUAUUUUGGACUUUCUCACUCUAUUCUUCUUGUGUCUUCAACUCUUUUAAAAUAUUUUGCAUCUUUUUAUCUCUAUUGCUUUAUUCUUUUUCUUCUUUUGCAGAAGAACAUUCCAUUUUAUUAAUUCUCUACUCCAUUGUAUCCAAGUUAUUUAACCUUUACAUUGAAUUUUUACUUUUAAUUAUUAUACUUUUUACUUCUAGGAGAACUUUGCCCUCAAAUUCUGCCUGAUUUCUUGCUGAUUAGUCAUAUUUUUACCUCUUUCUUGUUUAAAAAAUUUUUUUCCUUAAACACAUAAUUUUUCUAAAAAAUUUAUAAUAUAUUCCCUAUAUUUGUACAUUUCCAAUAUUCAAGUUUCUGUUGUUUAUUAUUUCUGUGACACUUGCAUGCAAUGGCUUAGUUCAAAUGUAUUUUGUGAUUUUUUAAAAUUGAUUCUGAAGUUGUAUUCGCAAUAAAACACAAUCCUUUGCACUUUUCUAAUAAAUACCAAGGUUGUGGA